rnacentral:rRNA from 1 species
AUUGAACGCUGGCGGCAUGCUUUACACAUGCAAGUCGAACGGUAACAGGCCGCAAGGUGCUGACGAGUGGCGAACGGGUGAGUAAUGCAUCGGAACGUGCCCAGUCGUGGGGGAUAACGCAGCGAAAGCUGCGCUAAUACCGCAUACGAUCUAUGGAUGAAAGCGGGGGACCGUAAGGCCUCGCGCGAUUGGAGCGGCCGAUGUCAGAUUAGGUAGUUGGUGGGGUAAAGGCUCACCAAGCCAACGAUCUGUAGCUGGUCUGAGAGGACGACCAGCCACACUGGGACUGAGACACGGCCCAGACUCCUACGGGAGGCAGCAGUGGGGAAUUUUGGACAAUGGGCGCAAGCCUGAUUCAGCAAUGCCGCGUGCAGGAAGAAGGCCUUCGGGUUGUAAACUGCUUUUGUACGGAACGAAAAGACGCUGGUUAAUACCUGGGGUCCAUGACGGUACCGUAAGAAUAAGCACCGGCUAACUACGUGCCAGCAGCCGCAGUAAAAC